UCCCUGCAUGGGAAGGAGGAGCAGAGGCCCUGUCACGCACCGGGCAACCAGGGAAGCCCCGUCUGAAGAUAUUGGAAAGGAGGAGAAGAAAGAGGAAAGCAGAGAAGAUCGCCUCGCAGAGGCCAGGCUGCAGCCUGGGCUCCGUGCACCUCUGCCUGCUGACGGGAUCCACCUCAGGUCAAGAAGGUGCUGGCUCACCCUUCCCUCAAGAUUUUAGAGAUCCCAGUGCAUGUCCUGGAAAUCCUUUAAAAUUCAAAGAAAACAAGCAAAGCUCUGGCUAAUUAAAUGUUUUCUGCUUACCGUCGUUAACAUAUUAAUGCGACAGGCUAAAUGUAUUACUCAGUGGUGCAGAAGCUCUUAGGUCUGUGCACCCCUUUUUGAGAGGAUUUCUCCAUGUGGCAUCCGUGUUUACAGUGCACUGGCUUUCUGUUCAUAGGGCUUUUACGUGGGGGCGAUGGCAUGGCAGAAAGCAUCCCCAGGGUGAGAAGGGGAUGGGGAGGUCCACAUUGCAGUUCAGACCCCCUGGACAUCUGCCUUUGAGAUAGCCACGUCCCUGAGCCUUUCCUUUCAAAGGAUGGUGGGUCAGUUUCUAAUGUUCCCAUUUUGACCUCUCAGACUCAGGGACUGAGGCUAGAGCACAGGUCC
rnacentral:lncRNA from 1 species